rnacentral:rRNA from 1 species
GAUGAACGCUAGCUACAGGCUUAACACAUGCAAGUCGAGGGGCAGCAUUUCAGUUUGCUUGCAAACUGGAGAUGGCGACCGGCGCACGGGUGAGUAACACGUAUCCAACCUGCCGAUAAUUCGGGGAUAGCCUUUCGAAAGAAAGAUUAAUACCCGAUGGCAUAAUUAGACCGCAUGGUCUUAUUAUUAAAGAAUUUCGGUUAUCGAUGGGGAUGCGUUCCAUUAGGCAGUUGGUGAGGUAACGGCUCACCAAACCUUCGAUGGAUAGGGGUUCUGAGAGGAAGGUCCCCCACAUUGGAACUGAGACACGGUCCAAACUCCUACGGGAGGCAGCAGUGAGGAAUAUUGGUCAAUGGGCGCAGGCCUGAACCAGCCAAGUAGCGUGAAGGAUGACUGCCCUAUGGGUUGUAAACUUCUUUUAUAUGGGAAUAAAGUUUUCCACGUGUGGAAUUUUGUAUGUACCAUAUGAAUAAGGAUCGGCUAACUCCGUGCCAGCAGCCGCGGUAAUACGGAGGAUCCGAGCGUUAUCCGGAUUUAUUGGGUUUAAAGGGAGCGUAGGUGGACAGUUAAGUCAGUUGUGAAAGUUUGCGGCUCAACCGUAAAAUUGCAGUUGAUACUGGCUGUCUUGAGUACAGUAGAGGUGGGCGGAAUUCGUGGUGUAGCGGUGAAAUGCUUAGAUAUCACGAAGAACUCCGAUUGCGAAGGCAGCUCACUGGACUGCAACUGACACUGAUGCUCGAAAGUGUGGGUAUCAAACAGGAUUAGAUACCCUGGUAGUCCACACAGGAAACGAUGAAUACUCGCUGUUUGCGAUAUACAGUAAGCGGCCAAGCGAAAGCAUUAAGUAUUCCACCUGGGGAGUACGCCGGCAACGGUGAAACUCAAAGGAAUUGACGGGGGCCCGCACAAGCGGAGGAACAUGUGGUUUAAUUCGAUGAUACGCGAGGAACCUUACCCGGGCUUAAAUUGCAUUUGAAUAUAUUGGAAACAGUAUAGCCGUAAGGCAAAUGUGAAGGUGCUGCAUGGUUGUCGUCAGCUCGUGCCGUGAGGUGUCGGCUUAAGUGCCAUAACGAGCGCAACCCUUAUCUUUAGUUACUAACAGGUCAUGCUGAGGACUCUAGAGAGACUGCCGUCGUAAGAUGUGAGGAAGGUGGGGAUGACGUCAAAUCAGCACGGCCCUUACGUCCGGGGCUACACACGUGUUACAAUGGGGGGUACAGAAGGCAGCUACCUGGUGACAGGAUGCUAAUCCCAAAAGCCUCUCUCAGUUCGGAUCGAAGUCUGCAACCCGACUUCGUGAAGCUGGAUUCGCUAGUAAUCGCGCAUCAGCCAUGGCGCGGUGAAUACGUUCCCGGGCCU